GAUGAACGCUGGCGGCGUGCCUAAUACAUGCAAGUCGAGCGAACAGACGAGGAGCUUGCUCCUCUGACGUUAGCGGCGGACGGGUGAGUAACACGUGGAUAACCUACCUAUAAGACUGGGAUAACUUCGGGAAACCGGAGCUAAUACCGGAUAAUAUAUUGAACCGCAUGGUUCAAUAGUGAAAGACGGUUUUGCUGUCACUUAUAGAUGGAUCCGCGCCGCAUUAGCUAGUUGGUAAGGUAACGGCUUACCAAGGCAACGAUGCGUAGCCGACCUGAGAGGGGGAUCGGCCACACUGGAGCGGAGACGCGGUCCAGACUCCUGCGGGAGGCAGCAGUAGGGAAUCUUCCGCAAUGGGCGAAAGCCUGACGGAGCAACGCCGCGUGAGUGAUGAAGGUCUUCGGAUCGUAAAACUCUGUUAUUAGGGAAGAACAAAUGUGUAAGUAACUAUGCACGUCUUGACGGUACCUAAUCAGAAAGCCACGGCUAACUACGUG
rnacentral:rRNA from 1 species